AGGGUUUGAUUCUGGCUCAGGAUGAACGCUGGCGGCGUGCUUAACACAUGCAAGUCGAACGAAGCACUUUACCUGAUUUCCUUCGGGGAUGAUUGUUCUGUGACUGAGUGGCGGACGGGUGAGUAACGCGUGGAUAACCUGCCUCACACAGGGGGAUAACAGUUGGAAACGACUGCUAAUACCGCAUAAGCGCACAGCACCGCAUGGUGCAGUGUGAAAAACUCCGGUGGUGUGAGAUGGAUCCGCGUCUGAUUAGCUUGUUGGCGGGGUAACGGCCCACCAAGGCGACGAUCAGUAGCCGGCCUGAGAGGGCGACCGGCCACAUUGGGACUGAGACACGGCCCAG
rnacentral:rRNA from 1 species